rnacentral:tRNA from 1 species
GCCGCCGUGGCGAAAUUGGUAGACGCGCCAGAUUUAGGUUCUGGUGCUGAGAGGCGUCUCGGUUCGAGUCCGAGCGGCGGCACCA